AAGGAAGAUGGAGGGGGGCUGGAGCCUGGAAAGGCAAACUGUGUGACAACAACAGCCACCUAGUGAAGGAAAGAGAAACAAGGAAGAUGCUUUCACAUGUGGAACAGGCAAAGAAAACUAUAGAUUCUCAGAGCUGCUGCUUUUCCUGUACCAUCCUCUUAUCACAUCCUCCCAGCUCAGAACAGUCGCUCUUCCAGGAUGUGAGAGAUUGUUUCAGUUCUCACCUGUGCCUAAGAGACUACGAAGCCAUGUCACCCACUUCUCAUGAACAUAUCCUUACCUGCAGUCGCUAUAGGCAUAGGGGCUGGAGUGCUCUCAGGCUCUUUAAUUGAUAAUGUUCCACUUUGUAUAUAUGACACAUUGUUCUUUCAUUGACUAAAUGAACUUCCAUUCUUGGCCAAUACUGUGUCAUCAUUUGUCCCUGCUCCUGGCCAGUUCCCUUCUGUCCAAACAAGCUCUCAGAGGGGUAGCUAAACUCUGAGCAGAUGUAGUCGUCUGCCUGCUUAGC